rnacentral:tRNA from 1 species
AAAGGUGAAGCUUUUACAGCAUUUAACUGUUAAUUAAAAGAAGCACGAAGUGCCACCUUUU